rnacentral:tRNA from 1 species
GCCGAAGUGGCGGAAUGGUAGACGCUGCGGUCUCAAAAACCGUUGUCCGUGAGGACGUGGGAGUUCGACUCUCCCCUUCGGCACCA